CACGUAGGGCGCGAGCGUUGUCCGGAAUUAUUGGGCGUAAAGAGCUCGUAGGCGGUUUGUCGCGUCUGCUGUGAAAACUGGAGGCUCAACCUCCAGCCUGCAGUGGGUACGGGCAGACUAGAGUGCGGUAGGGGAGAUUGGAAUUCCUGGUGUAGCGGUGGAAUGCGCAGAUAUCAGGAGGAACACCGAUGGCGAAGGCAGAUCUCUGGGCCGUAACUGACGCUGAGGAGCGAAAGCGUGGGGAGCGAACAGG
rnacentral:rRNA from 1 species